GCCUGGCUAGCUCAGUCGGUAGAGCAUGGGACCUUCAAUCCCAGGGUCGUAGGUUUGAGCCCCACACCAGGCA